AAAAAUUGAACAACCAAUUCUAUCAACUUCGUUUUCGAUCUGUCUGUUCACCAUGGCGCUCUUCCAUUUCCAAAAACCAUCUCAACAAUUUACCUUCCAAACUCCCAUCCUCCUCCAACUCCAACAACACUUCAAGAAAAUUUCCUCUCUCCAAACGAUCCAUCUUCCUCAUCACUCCACCCCCAAAUCAACAAACCCUAAACCCUUGGUUAAUCAAAAUCGGUCCAGAUUCCAAUGACCAAACUCAUCUCUGGCAUCCUCUAUCACGUGACACACAGUUCCCUCUUCAUUACCCCAUUAUUGAUUUCAAUCAACUCUCCGUCCAAGAUCUCGGACAUGAAUUCGUCAUCGGUAACUUCCCUUCCCGACGUCCCUNNNNNNNNNNNNNNNNNNNNNNNNNNNNNNNNNNNNNNNNNNNNNNNNNNNNNNNNNNNNNNNNNNNNNNNNNNNNNNNNNNNNNNNNCGGUGACCUUGCAAUUUUCCGAUGCGGUGAUGAGCGGUGGACAUUGAUUCCUAGCAUUAGCGAGUUUUCUUACAGUGAUGUAUGUGUCUUCAAUGGGCGGCCUAUGGCGAUUGAUAUUUCUGGUCAGAUUGUUGAGGUGAGACCGGACUUAAGCUUGGAUUUGGUGAUGGAGAGUGGGUUUGGUGAAGAAAAAAUGUUCUUGGUGGAGAGUGAUGGUGAGUUGUUGCUAGUCAGUGGCCAUCUGUCUUAUGAUUGUGAUGACAGUGUUUUGGAUGAUGAUGGUGAAGGAAUUUACGAUGGGGCUGUGCAAUUUGAUGUGUUUAGGCUUGAUGAGAAGGAGAAAAAGUGGUUGCAUGUAAAAAAUUUGGGGAAUAGGGUUUUGUUUUUGGGGGAAGAUUGUGCAUUUUCUGCUUCCUUCAUUGGCAACGGGAAUUGUGUAAUAUUUAGUGAUACUGUUUUUCACAGUGUUCAUUCGGCUGAGCUUGGGAUUAGUGUUUUUCACUUGGAUGGACGUCGUACUUCGCCUUUGUCUGAUUUUCCUUGUUAUUCUAACUUGUUUUGGCCAGCUCCAGAAUGGGUCGAGCUGCUUACUGACAACAGCAGAGUUUGUGUCUUGGAUUGAAAGGUUUGUAGUUCUACGAAACACCAAAUGAUAUUAAUUUUUAUCAAUUUUAUGUUAAUGCUGAAAGGAUGAAAAUGAUGGUGCUGGUGGGGCUACUUAAGUUUAGUAUUUCCCAAGGAAUUGUCCAAAAGUUGAAAUUAACACCGCAAGACACUUCAAUGUAUUUGGUUAAAUUAGGAGACCUUAAUGCUAAAGAAGUUUGCAAGUAGGGACUGCAUGAUCACUAGGAUUUCUAGAAUAGUUGAAAUGUUCUUAAAUUGACCUAGUUUUUUUCCAAUUUAUAUAAUAUAGAUAUAGAUAUAUCAGGUUCUUGGAUUAUUAGGGUACUAGGGGUAUGUAAGUCUUAUUCAAGUUAUAUGACUGCCCACAAACAUGUUUUGAGCCUACUUGUGUUUGCUACGUCAUGUCUCACCUUCAAAACAUUUUCUAGUAUAUGACAUAUAUGAUGUAUAUGCUUGAUGAUGCUGAUUGUAUGUUUGCAGUAGCCGUAUAUCUUGCAUGUAAGACAGUUGCCUUGUUAUGUACACUCUAAAGUGCAUUUGUGUUGAUCCCUUUUACUUUUGCAGAAACAAACUUGUUUCUUUUAAUAGCUCAUUAUUUCAUUACUAAUAAAUUUAGUUCAGUUAAUGUUUGAACAUGGUUGUGAGGGAUUUAGGUUGUGUAAGUUCUUCUACUAAUCCAUUUUCCAUAUAAGCCCAAAAACCUUUGCAAUUUCUUCAUGCUUCUGUCAAUGGAGCAGGCUCUUUGAUGGGAAACAAAGAAUAUGUAGUGAGCAACAAAUGCGAUAUGUACUAACAUAUUUGUUAUGAAGCCACUGCUUCUGCUCAUAAUGUUUGUUGAGUUGCUUAGAACAUCUUCACCACAACUACUCUUAUAUUGCUGAGGUACUUGUUACUUGUUAGGAAUCUUAAACAGCCAUAUAACCAUUCUAUUGGUCCUGACAGCAACAAUUUGCUAUUGGGAUCAGUUGCUAUAUGUUUUUGAAUAUAGGUUAAGAACUUCAUAUAAUCUUACUACCAAAACUUUUAGAGUAUACAAAUCUACAGAGUUGAGUCAGAUGUUUUGUAAUAUUUUAUCAGUCUUUAUCAUCAUUUUUCUUUGAUGUGUGUUGAGUUAAACAAGCAAUUGGUAGAAACAAUUCUUCCAUGUCUUUCUGAUCUAGAAUCUCUAUCUUGUUACUUAUUUAGCUGUCUAUUCAAUCCCUUGUCUUUGGAUGAAUGAUUCAAUUAUGGAAGUUGAUUAGGAACUAAAUACUUAACUCAGUUGAGAAGCUCAAGCUCCGAUAAGAUAGAAAAAUGAACCAAACUGGGACAUAUUACUUCUAAAUAAGGGAUUAACAAGUAUUGCAUAAGAACUUAGGUCUUUGUCACAGUUCAUUCAUUUAAACUUGAAACAUGGAAUGACCUAAAAAAUUAUUGUGCAAUUUACCUUUACAAUGAUUAUUUUUUGUUCCAAUUGAAAUGAGGUUGAUUUAUUCUGAAUAAGAAUCAACUAUCAAUAGUACCUCCUGCUACUAAGAAAACGAUGUCAAUACUUCAUAAACAUUGAUUAUUUUUUAUUUCAAUUGCUUUCAAAUCAUAGAUGUAUAAUGUAUUGAAUCAUCAGCUCUUAACUUUCCGUCGAGAUUAUUGCACACUUUACUCUCUGGUGUCUGCACACUUUUCUCAACCCUUGAUGAAAAAAUAACUUUUUUGUUGCUUCUGUAGUAACUUUUUUUCUGCACCAUAAAAAUAUGAAAUGAGAGUACCAUGGUAGUGGCAGUAACUGAUAGCCAGUCUGAGGGAUGAUUUCAGCUGAAGGUUUGACAUGUUUUGGCCGAGGGAUGCUUGUUUGAUUGUUGUUUCCGAAAUUUUGGAUAUAGCCAGCCCUUAAUAUGUCAUCCUUUUUUGGUCCUUCUGAGAGGAAAUGCUCCUUCAGAGCACCUUCCAUUUUUGUGCCAAAGCUGGUUUAUAGGCUUGGAAUUUGAAGAGACUUUGCUCUCUCCAAAAGUGUGCCCUUCUGGAUGAAAAUUUAGCCUCAUCUGCAUCACAAAUGAACCACAAAAUGAAGAUAUAACAAAUGCAAGUUAAGCUAAUCAGCUUGAGAAUUAGAUGAGAUAAAGCGAAGUAGUAAUGUUCACAUGAAUCUUGUGAUUUUUGAGGUGAGGGUGAUCAAAAAUUGGUUGGUGUGAAACACAAGUUGUUCACGUAUAUAAACACAAGAUUAAUACAAAGGGUGAAUUGUCCUAGAAAAUUCUAGGACACUUUAGAAAAUGAUUAUUACAAUACACCGUUUUAUCCUAGAAUGGAUACACAUUCAAUAAUAUUACUAUAAGGACUGUGCAUUCACAAACCCACAAAGUUACAACACUAUCAAAAAUGAACUAUUUUUAUGAGUGGCCCCAAGAAUCUUAGAUUAACACUGGCUUCAAAAGUUUGAAGUAUCCCAAAUCUACAAAUCAUAAAAGAAAGAACCUAUCACAACACCUAUAUCAUUCCGGUAUACCAGAAUGAAGUAGAUGAUGGUAGACCGUACAUGAUAGUAUUGAUUAGCCGUGAGUACGCUAUACAAAUGAAAUGAAAAAUCAUUCAUGUCCCAUUAAACAAACUUUUACUUUGUCCAAAAAUUAGUUGAAACUUGAAAUGAUUUCAAUUUCAAUGGUUAAAUUAUCGCUCUUAUUAAUAUCAGUAGAGUGGAUUCAUUUAAUAAGAGUAUGUCAGUGGUAAAAUAAUACUAGUACCACUACUAAAGUUGCAUUGAUAUUGAACAAAUUAAUAUGCUGGUUUUUGAGCGUAACUCGUUGUGUCAUUGGUCCUUUAAUAUAUUUAAAUUGCAAAUAUAUUUACAAGUCAUUUUAGAUGCUAUAACAAAACUUUGUAAGAAAAUCUCUCGAGAAAUCUAUGAAGAUUAAAUUAAUUAUCAAUGACAUAAUAUGUGUUUUACUACCAACCACAAAUUUAAUGUUGAACGCAUUGUCUUUUUUAUUAGUCUUUUGAUGUUAAAAUAUAUAUUUUAGAUAAUCAAAUUAAUGCUCAAAUGUGUUUUUUGUUUGUCAAUGUAGCUUAUUACUAACUAAAGAUGCAAUAGGAUGCGUUUGCAGUUUCAAUAAUUCACAAACAAAUUAUUGUCUUCUUAGUAAUCCAAUCAAAAUUGUCUUCUAAACAACCCGAUAAAAAUUUAAGUUAAAGUUGGUUAUAACUCAUCUUUAUCUUUUGCUCACCCAUAAACAAAUUACUAGUACCGUGUAAAAAUGAUUGUAGGAAAAGAGAAAUGUUGGUCUUUUUCCUCUUAUAAUUUGGGACAAAAAAAUAAGUCUUUUUUUCUUAUGAUUCGGAACAAAGAGAGUACCACUUAAAUGAUAAUGUAGGAUAAUAGUAUGUGCUAUCAGGGGAAAAAUGAUUUCUUUCUCUAAUAGCAGGACACAUUAAUAAAUCUGAAUCAUUUGAUAUUGUUUUAAUCUAAUUAACGAUUGAUAUUGAAAACCCUGUAUAACUACUUGUAACACAAUUCCUAAAUACUUCAUUCGUCCCAAAAUAAAAGGGAAAAUUUGUUAAAUAAAGUUGAUGUAUUUAGUUCAAAUUUUUAAUCAAAUACAUCAAUUUUCUUUCAAUUUUCCGCCUAUAUUUUGAGACGGAGCUUCACACAAUUUGGGCGGGAGACAGGGGCGGGAAUACAUUUUUGGUCUUACUUAUAUAGAUAGAUAGAUAGAUACAUUUUCUUUUUCAUUGCGUACUUCAUCUUCUUCUCAAAUGAGCGGCACCCUCUGACCGAGUUCAUCUUUCAUGGCCGCAGACUGGUCUCAACUCCCUGAGGAUCUCCUCCAACAAAUAUACCAAAAAUUGAACAACCAAUUUUAUCAACUUCGUUUUCGAUCUGUCUGUUCACCAUGGCGCUCUUCCAUUUCCAAAAAUCAUCUCAACAACUUACCUACCAAACUCCCAUCCUCCUGCUCCAAUUCAAACAACACUUCCAUAACAUUAUCUCUCUCCAAAAGAUCCAUCUUCCUCAUCACUCCACCCCCAAAUCAACAAACCCUAAACCCUUGGUUAAUCAAAAUUGGUCCAGAUUCGAAUAACCAAACUCAUCUCUGGCAUCCUCUAUCACGUGACACACAAUUCCCUCUUUAUCACCCCAUUAUUAUUGAUUUCAAUCAAAUCUCCGUCCGAGAUCUCGGACGUGAAUUCGUCAUCGGUAACUUCCCUUCCCGACGUCCCCUUUAUAUCGACUGCAACAACUCACUUGACCCGGGAAAGGUCGUUGUUUGUGACACGUGGCAUAAUGGAAUAGAUCGUUGUUCUCUUCUCCUCACUAUUCAUGGUACCGGGGAACUUGCAAUUUUCCGAUGUGGCGAUGAGCAGUGGACGUUAAUUCCUAGCAUUAGCGAGUUUCCUUACACUGAUGUCUGUAUGUUCAAUGGGCGGCCUAUUGCGGUUGAUAUUUUCGGUGAGGUUGUUGAGGUGAGACCAGACUUAAGCUUGGAUUUGGUGGUGGAGCAUGGGAUGUAUGGUGGAAAGAAAAAGGUCUUGGUGGAGAGUGAUGGUGAGUUGUUGUUGUUAGUCAGUGGGCAUUUGUCUUAUGAUUAUGAUGACAGUGUUUUGGAUGAUGAUGGCGAAGGAAUUUACGAUGGGGCUGUGCAAAUUGAUGUGUUUAGGCUUGAUGAGAAGGAGAAAAAGUGGUUGCAUGUAAAAGAUUUGGGGAAUAGGGUUUUGUUUUGGGGGGAAGAUUGUGCAUUUUCUGCUUCGUUCAUUGGCAACGGGAAUUGUGUGAUAUUUAGUGAUGCUGUUUUUCGCAGUGUUCAUUCCGCUGAGCUUGGGAUUAGUGUUUUUCACUUGGAUGGACGUUGUACUUCGCCUUUGUCUGAUUUUCCUUGUUAUUCUAACUUGUUUUGGCCAGCUCCAGAAUGGGUCAAGCUGAAUAUUGACAACAGCAGAGUUUGUGUCUUGGAUUGAAAGGUUUGUUGUUCUACAAAACACCAAAUGAUAUUAAUUUUUAUCAAUUUUAUGUUAAUGCUGAAAGGAUGAACGUGAUGGUGCUGGUGGGGCUACUUAAUUUUAGUAUUUCCCAAGUUGAAAUUAACACCGCAAGACACUUCAAUGUAUUUGGUUAAAUUAGGAGACCUUAAUGAUAAAGAAGUUUGCAAGUAGGGACUGCAUGUUCACUAGGAUUUCUAGAAAAGUUGACAUAUAUGAUGUAUAUGCUUGAUGAUCCUGAUAGUAUGUUUGCAGUAGCC
rnacentral:lncRNA from 1 species